rnacentral:rRNA from 1 species
UGAGGAAUAUUGGUCAAUGGGCGAGAGCCUGAACCAGCCAUCCCGCGUGCAGGAAGAAUGCCCUAUGGGUUGUAAACUGCUUUUUCGCAUGAAGAACACCUCUGACGUGUCAGGGGCUGACGGUAAUGCGUGAAUAAGCACCGGCUAACUCCGUGCCAGCAGCCGCGGUAAUACGGAGGGUGCAAGCGUUAUCCGGAUUUAUUGGGUUUAAAGGGUGCGUAGGCGGCUUUUUAAGUCAGUGGUGAAAUCCUGCAGCUCAACUGUAGAACAGCCAUUGAAACUGAAGAGCUUGAGUAAUCUUGAGGUAGGCGGAAUGUGUAGUGUAGCGGUGAAAUGCUUAGAUAUUACACAGAACACCGAUUGCGAAGGCAGCUUACUAAGGAUUUACUGACGCUGAUGCACGAAAGCGUGGGGAUCAAACA